GAUAAACGCUGGCGGCGUGCCUAAUACAUGCAAGUCUAGCGAACGGACGAGAAGCUUGCUUCUCUGAUGUUAGCGGCGGACGGGUGAGUAACACGUGGAUAACCUACCUAUAAGACUGGGAUAACUUCGGGAAACCGGAGCUAAUACCGGAUGAUAUUUUGAACCGCAUGGUUCAAAAGUGAAAGACGGUCUUGCUGUCACUUAUAGAUGGAUCCGCGCUGCAUUAGCUAGUUGGUAAGGUAAUGGCUUACCAAGGCAACGAUGCAUAGCCGACCUGAGAGGGUGAUCGGCCACACUGGAACUGAGACACGGUCCAGACUCCUACGGGAGGCAGCAGUAGGGAAUCUUCCGCAAUGGGCGAAAGCCUGACGGAGCAACGCCGCGUGAGUGAUGAAGGUCUUCGGAUCGUAAAACUCUGUUAUUAGGGAAGAACAUAUGUGUAAGUAACUGUGCACAUCUUGACGGUACCUAAUCAGAAAGCCACGGCUAACUACGUG
rnacentral:rRNA from 1 species